GAAAAACCCGAGGACCUGGAGAAUGAUCCACGCAACCAUGGGGAGAACAUGCAAACUCCAAAUAUGUCGGCGUCAGGGUCGGGAUCGAACUCACGACCUCCUCUAUACCAGGGAGCAGAGACUGGCACGUGCUGAGCGGACUUCAGCCGAAGACGUCGUACGACAUCAAGAUCCAGUGGUUUAGCACGGCGGGAGAGAGCGCGUUCAGCAACGUCAUGAUCUGCGAGACGAGAGAUGCUCGUAACCAUCGUGACGACAGAUGAAGAUGAUGAUCAAUAAUGUCAUUUCUGUAUUAUAUUAUCACCAUCACUACCAUGAACAUAAUAAUCGCCACCACCUUUGGCGCCAUCACUUAGAUCCAGA